CAGCUGGGGGCUUCCAAUUGCACCGGCAGAGACAAUAACCUCACUGCGUCUCUUUUGGAUGAGAAAGGCUUGUUGGUCCCCGCCAUUCUCAUCCUUGAAUUGAACUCCAAUAGCACUUGGCCGAUGCCCUGUGCAAAGAUGAGAAGAAAUUGUUUGUCUGGUGCUGGUAACCAGACUACUCAGUGGGUGCCGAGAUUAACUGGAACCGGUCAAAUGCAACAACUGUUGCCAACGAGAAAAAAAGACAACUAGUCAUCAUAUCACAAAGGUACGUGAAAACAUGUGCUUUGGUGAUAACACAGAUUUGUAAGGGGACGUUGUGGGUUUGAAUCUCAAAACACCACUUUGUUAUUCAUUUUUGUAUUAAUAAAUUCAAAAUUGUACUUAGAAUUUUGGGAAACAGUUUCCCGGAUUUUGUUUUGUGAUUUCAAGUUACCAUAUUCUCACAA